UACGGAGGGGGCGAGCGUUAUUCGGAAUUAUUGGGCGUAAAGGGCGCGUAGGCGGCUGUACAAGUCAAAGGUGAAAUCCCUCGGCUCAACUGAGGAACUGCCUUUGAAACUGUACGGCUUGAGGCCGGGAGGGGGUAGCGGAAUUCCCAGUGUAGCGGUGAAAUGCGUAGAUACUGGGAGGAACACCAGUGGCGAAGGCGGCUACCUGGACCGGUUCUGACGCUGAGGCGCGAAAGCGUGGGUAGCGAACAGG
rnacentral:rRNA from 1 species